AAUCAUAAACCCUACCACCACUUUCAUCCUUUGUCCCUAUCCACAUCCUUCUUGGCUUCUUCUGCUUCUUCAUCUGCAUUUCCUUUGAAUUUGAAAGACGAAGGAGGAGUCAUCUCCAUCACAAUCGCCAUUCCAACACAGACGAGGACGACCAGGAUCAGAUGCAACUUCUCCGUCCACUCAAAAACUGACGCCAUCACCAAGACUGAGCCCCACCUUGUCUGCACCUCCGUCAAAGCCUUUGCUCUAUCAACCAUCGCUAAUCUUGGUCCCGGCUUCGACUUACUCAGCUGCGCCAUUGAUAGCCUCGGUGACACCGUCUCCCUCACUGUUGACCCACACGUCCACCCAAGAGAGAUCUUCAUCUUCGACAUAUCCAGUACGGGCAACAACAUUACCAGGCUUAUCAAAAACUCUCUCUGGAACUGCGUUGGGAUCACCGCUCGAAGUCAUGAAGAUGCUUGGAAUCCGCUCCGUUGGCCUGUCCCACUCUCUUCAAAAGGGUCUCCCCCUGGGAAGUGGCCUGGGGUCCAGCGCCACCGCCGUAACUAUCGUGUUUGUCAAUGAGAUCUUUGACAACAAAUUGGGGGUGCAGGAGGUCGUCCUGGCUUCCCUGAAGUUGGAGGAGAAGGUUUCCGGUUACCACGUCGACAAUGCGGAGCUGGCAAUCAUGGGGGGUUCAUGCUUAUGUACUUUGAAAACCAGCCCUCUAUAUUAAUACAAUAAAAAAUCCAAAAACAAUGCCAAAAAACACUGCAAACUUCCAUUAUUGCAACAUAAACUUCACGAGGGCCGAGGGGUCAAGGUAACUAUGUGCAUAAAAAUCUGCAAUUCAGUUCAACGGUCAUAAAGCAACUCACUUCAUGCUAUAUCACCAACUCACAGUAAGCUAAAAAAUACCAGGAAUUCCAUUAACUUUAAUUAGACCGCAUCCAGGUUAAAAUUUAUGGUUUUAUCCAUAGUAUCUUUUAACAUUUUUUGAUCAGUGCCUGAAUAUUUCCAAUAACAAAUUAGUAGUAACAACAAAAGAAAUCCUUAAAGAAAACAUUGUAGUACUUAACGCAGGCAAGAGAAGUUCUUCUUCUUCAAGGUCCAGUUCUCCAUCUCCUCGUUGCAAUGCAUGUGUUCCGCCCUUAUUCCCUGAGCCUCUUUUUGUCCGAGUUUCAGCCUCUGCUUUGCCGUGAUUCUGCUGCGGUGUCGCCGAGGUUCUGUCGUUCAGCCACUAUUCCACCGCUGUUAAGCCUCUGUUAAGCCAUUUUGUUCGAGUUUUAAAGCUCUAGCAAUCUCUCCUUCUCCCUAUUCUGUUCGAAUUUCAAAACGUGCUAUAGCCUAAGGUUUUAUUAAAGGAUUUGGGCAUGGUGUUGUGUAACUGUUUCUUGUGAACAAGCACUAGGUUUGUGUUGCCGAAAAACCAAUCAAGAUGGGAAAAAAGAAAUUAUUAGAGUCAUGAUGCUUGCCCAACUACAUUCGUGACAUGAUGAGCAAGCUAACUAAAAACAAUGCCGUUGAGAAGCUUGCGGAGAUUGAUGAAAUCAGAUUCGGAUUCUUCAGGCUUGUUCCGAAUUGGUCUGUGAAGCAGGCCAUCAUGGUUCAUCUAGCCGAGUCGUAUGAAGUUAAGACAAGAACUUUUAUACUCGACGUUGGCAACAUCCGCCUCAAUACCGAGUUAA